rnacentral:rRNA from 1 species
AACCUGGUUGAUCCUGCCAGUAGUCAUAUGCUUGUCUAAAAGAUUAAGCCAUGCAAGUCUAAGUAUAAGUAACUUAUACUGCGAAACUGCGCAUAGCUCAUUAUAUCAGUUAUAGUUUAUUUGAUGGUACCCUUACUACAUGGAUAACCGUAGUAAUUCUAGAGCUAAUACAUGCCCGGAAACUGCGACUCCUCGGGGAAGCAGCGGACUUAUUAGAUUAAAAGCCAAUCCGACUUGUCGGUCCUUGGUGAAUCAUAAUAAUUUCACGAAUCGCAUGGUCGCAAGACUGGCGAUGGGUCAUUGAAGUUUCUGCUCUAUCAGCUGUGAUGUUAGUAUAUUGGACUAAGAUGCCUAAAACGGGUGACGGAGGAUUAGGGUUUGAUUCCGGAGAGGGAGCCCGAGAAAUGGCUACCACUUCCAAGGAAGGCAGCAGGCGCGUGAAUUACCCGAUCCUGACACAGGGAGGUAGUGACAAGAAAUAACAAUACCGGACAUUUAAUGUUUGGUAAUUGGAAUGAGUACAACGUAAAACCCUUAACGAGGAACAAUUGGAGGGCAAGUCUGGUGCCAGCAGCCGCGGUAAUUCCAGCUCCAAUAGCGUAUAUUAACUUUGUUGCAGUUAAAAGGCUCGUAGUCGAACAUCUGGCUGGUUAGUCUGGCCCAUCUCUUUGAGGUGCGCGCCGGACUGGCUGGUCAUCCUUCUGGAGAGCUCUUCUGCCCUUCACUGGGUUGGGGGAGGGAUCCAGAUCCUUUACUUGAGAAAAUCAAAGUGUUCAAAGCAGGCUUUAAUGCUUGUAUGGUUCAGCAUGGAAUAAUAAGAUAAGACUUCGGUUUUGUUUUGUUGGCUAGACGAACCAAAGUAAUGAUUGAAAGGGAUAGUUGGGGGUGCUAGUAUUUAAUGGUCAGCGGUGAAAUGCGAGGACCCAUUGAAGACUAACUUAUGCGAAAGCAUUCACCAAGGAUAUCUUCUUUGAUCAAGAACGAAAGUUGGGGGAUCGAAGACGAUCAGAUACCGUCGUAGUCUCAACCAUAAACUAUGCCAACUGAGGAUUGGCAGAUGUUGUCCAUUUGACCCUGUCAGAACUCUAUGAGAAAUCAAAGUCUCUGGGUUCUGGGGGGAGUAUGGUCGCAAGGCUGAAACUUAAAGGAAUUGACGGAAGGGCACCACCAGGAGUGGAGCCUGCGGCUUAAUUUGACCCAACACGGGAAAACUUACCAGGUCCAGACAUAGUAAGGAUUGACAGAUUGAAGAUCUUUCUUGAUUCUAUGGAUAGUGGUGCAUGGCCGUUCUUAGUUGGUGGAGUGAUUUGUCUGGUUAAUUCCGUUAACGAACGAGACCUCAGCCUACUAAUUAGUUUCGUGCUAUCGUUUGAUAGUGCAGACUUCUUAGAGGGACUAUCGGAUAAUCAGCCGAUGGAAGUAUGAGGCAAUAACAGGUCUGUCCUUAGAUGUUCUGGGCCGCACGCGCGCUACACUGAUACGAGCAACAAGUUGUCUCCUCGGCCGAAAGGCCUGGGUAACCUUGUGAAAUCGUAUCGUGAUAGGGCUUGACGAUUGUAAUUAUUUGUCACAAACGAGGAAUUCCUAGUAAGCGCAAGUCAUCAACUUGCACUGAUUACGUCCCUGCCCUUUGUACACACCGCCCGUCGCUCCUACCGAUUGAAUGUUCCGGUGAACACUUUGGACUCGUGAUUCUGUGUGGAGCAAUCUAUGCAGAGUCAAUGGGGAAGUUGUGUAAACCUUAACAUCUAGAGGAAGGAGAAGUCGUAACAAGGUUUCCGUAGGUGAACCUGCAGAAGGAUCA